GAGGAAAGUCCGGGCUCUAUUUAGAAAAAUAUAGCUAUAUAAAAUAUAGUGUAGGUAACUACGAGGAUAGUGCCACAGAAAUAAACCUGCUGUGAUGAUAAUGUAAGGGUGCAAUGGUACAGUAAAAGCGUAUCAGAAAUAUUUUCAAGAUAUUUGCUAGGUAAACCCCAUAUUAGAGCAAAGUAGUUAGUUGAUAUUUAAUAUUUUCUAUAAUUAUUUAUUUUUGGUACAUCCCAAUUAACUCAUCAAUUUACUGCAUAUAGUAAUAUUUUUAAUAUUACUUAAGAUCAAUAAUUACCCUUAUUUGUUUAUUAUAUUUUUUCACUAAAUUAAUACAAUUAAGAACAAAACCCGGCUUAU
rnacentral:RNase_P_RNA from 1 species